CGUUAUAAAGCCGAAUUGGUAAAGGCAUCGCCGAUCACAGGGAGGUUGCGGGUUCGAGUCCCGCUGGAACGG
rnacentral:tRNA from 1 species